UACGUAGGGGGCAAGCGUUGUCCGGAAUCAUUGGGCGUAAAGCGCGCGUAGGCGGCCCGGUAAGUCCGCUGUAAAAGUCCAGGGCUCAACCCUGGAAAGCCGGUGGAUACUGUCGGGCUAGAGUCCGGAAGAGGCGAGUGGAAUUCCUGGUGUAGCGGUGGAAUGCGCAGAUAUCAGGAGGAACACCCAUGGCGAAGGCAGCUUACUGGGCAUUAUCUGACGCUGAGGUGCGAAAGCGUGGGGAGCAAACAGG
rnacentral:rRNA from 1 species